GGCACGCCUUUCCCGGGGCUGAGGAAGCCAGGCAUUUCUCAUUACGGUGCUGAUGGAAAAUAUUUUCUAUUUGAUACAUGUUAAUUUAGCCAAAUAAUAAAGCACUACAACGAAAAGAGAAAUCUGAGGAUAAAUACCCAUAUUCUUCCUCCCCUGCAAAUGACAGGAGGUCCUGGUAAGGAACAUGGAACUAAUAAGCCACCAACAACUGAAAGAGUUUGGGAAAGAUCAAAAGGAGACACCACAUGUCCAACCACCUCCCAGAAUCCUCUCUGGCAUCCAUCUUGGUUGAACAAGGCUUGCACCACCAGGAAGGACUCUCAGUCAGAAUGAUUGGUUAAAGACAACCCGGAAACUAAUCCCAUCACCAUAAAACCUGAGACUGCCAGCCAGAACUGGCAGAGCAGUUCUCCUGGGUUCCCUUACCCUACUGCUCUCCAC